rnacentral:pre_miRNA from 1 species
UCUUCAUUUCACGCGCUCUCUCGCCACUCUGACCAGUGAGAGAGCAGGUGAAAUGAAGAGA